ACUGGAAAGGCAUCUCUAUCUUUACGUAGGUAACCACGCACGCCAUAGCUCUCAAUGAUAGACGUGGGGGUUCCAUCCCAACCUCUUUCACAACGGCCUUCUCACUGGUUCACGGUCUUAUUAAACCCAAUACCGAGUGAAGAUCUUUUAGUUCUCAGUAAUUCCCUAUCGUGCGUUGUCUUCCCACGUUUUUGAAGUUUCUUGUUAUCUGGCACUAGCGAAGCAAUAAUGGAUUUCCCGGCAUGUCUCGGGUUCCGAACUGCAUCGUCCUGUCCGUGUCGUUGGUCGUCGCAUAGAUAGUCCCAUGUGUGUGUAUGAAGUCCUUCUGGGCAAUUGGCCCUAAGUAUCCUGGGUUUGGCCGUGAUGUAUAAAGAGGUCUGGAGAAAAAAAGAGGUAUGUCGAUCUGUGGACGCAAUCGCGCGGCUCGUUGAGGAAAGCUGUGGGUAGGAUUGGAUUAGCCCGCGCGGCUCGUUGCCGAUCUCUGCUGAACUACAGGUCAAGAACCAACGGAAACAAACUGAAGACGGCAAUGAACCAACCGACUAAACCGACCGAUAAUCCGAACGAGUGAGGCCAUCAUGCCGUAUUUCCUUGCUGCACGCUUUUUGUAUUUUCUGUUGUGCCCGCAGAACUUCAGCUAACAGUUCCGGUUGUACGACAGCUGAGGCUGCGGGCUCGCUGAGACCGAGUUGUAGCAGCUACCUUGGGCCAGACUGCGCUGCCUGAGGAUGGAGGGUUUGGUGAAUAUUGACAGUAGAUAUCCCAAAGUAAAAAUGAGGCGGCAUUGCCAUCGGGUGAAGAGUAUGUGUGGCGUUGUGAUUGUGCAGUUUGUAGCUCCAUGGCUCAAUCUCUGCCGCAGAAAGCGGCUUGCAUGCAAAUUGGACGGACGCCUUCGAGGAGGUUACCCGGCACUUUUUGUGAUGGAAGCCUACAGUGAACAAUUAAGUGGUAUGGAUGGGAGGCGUAUCGCGGUGCCCGACAUGAGGCGCUCUCCCAAGACCCAAGUGCCGGCCGACUUUUGAGGAGGACUUGUUGUUUCCAAGCGCAUAGCCUGACCGCUUUUCCACCACUUCCUUUUGUGCUUGUAGUGGAUAUGUUUCAAACCAGUUAAGACAACCCAGCAAUGGACGAGCGGCGGCGGCUGGUUCGGCGAGCGAAGGGGGUAAAUAGUUUG